rnacentral:rRNA from 1 species
UGCAGUCGAACGGCAGCACGGGCUUCGGCCUGGUGGCGAGUGGCGAACGGGUGAGUAAUACAUCGGAACGUACCCAGAAGUGGGGGAUAACGUAGCGAAAGUUACGCUAAUACCGCAUACGUUCUACGGAAGAAAGUGGGGGAUCGCAAGACCUCAUGCUUUUGGAGCGGCCGAUGUCUGAUUAGCUAGUUGGUGAGGUAAAGGCUCACCAAGGCGACGAUCAGUAGCUGGUCUGAGAGGACGACCAGCCACACUGGAACUGAGACACGGUCCAGACUCCUACGGGAGGCAGCAGUGGGGAAUUUUGGACAAUGGGCGCAAGCCUGAUCCAGCAAUGCCGCGUGAGUGAAGAAGGCCUUCGGGUUGUAAAGCUCUUUUGUCAGGGAAGAAACGGCAGGGGCUAAUAUCCUUUGCUAAUGACGGUACCUGAAGAAUAAGCACCGGCUAACUACGUGCCAGCAGCCGCGGUAAUACGUAGGGUGCAAGCGUUAAUCGGAAUUACUGGGCGUAAAGCGUGCGCAGGCGGUUUUGUAAGUCUGACGUGAAAGCCCCGGGCUCAACCUGGGAAUUGCGUUGGAGACUGCAAGGCUUGAAUCUGGCAGAGGGGGGUAGAAUUCCACGUGUAGCAGUGAAAUGCGUAGAGAUGUGGAGGAACACCGAUGGCGAAGGCAGCCCCCUGGGUCAAGAUUGACGCUCAUGCACGAAAGCGUGGGGAGCAAACAGGAUUAGAUACCCUGGUAGUCCACGCCCUAAACGAUGUCUACUAGUUGUCGGGUUUUAAUUAACUUGGUAACGCAGCUAACGCGUGAAGUAGACCGCCUGGGGAGUACGGUCGCAAGAUUAAAACUCAAAGGAAUUGACGGGGACCCGCACAAGCGGUGGAUGAUGUGGAUUAAUUCGAUGCAACGCGAAAAACCUUACCUACCCUUGACAUGUCAGGAAUCCUUGAGAGAUUGAGGAGUGCCCGAAAGGGAACCUGAACACAGGUGCUGCAUGGCUGUCGUCAGCUCGUGUCGUGAGA